rnacentral:tRNA from 1 species
GGGUCUGUGGCCUAGCCAGGAUAGGGCGUCGGCCUCCGGAGCCGAUAGUCGAGAGCGCUUGUGCGCCGGUAAGGUUCA